AACACUCGGGCCAAGUAAACUUGAGAGGUUUAAUACGUGCAUGUAUUAAGUGCUGCAAGACUUCAAGGAAGCUUUCAAGCCAAUGAACUCUAAAUUGUAUGGAAAGGAAAAUGCAGGAAAUGGGAUCUCACUCCAUCACUCAGGCUGGAGUACAGUGCUGAGAUCAAGGCUCACUGCAGCCUUGAACACCUGGACUCAAGUGAUUCUCCUGCCUCAGCCUCCUGAGUAGCAGAGACUACAGAGCCUCAUUCUGUUGCCCAGGCUGGAGUGCAAUGGCAUGAUCUCAGUUCACUGUGACCUCUGCCUCCCUGGUUCAAGUGAUUCUUCUGCCUCAGCCUCCCAGGUAGCUGGACUAAAGGGAGCCAGCUUUCAACAAGUCUGCUGGAGUUUGCUAGGGGUCCACUCCAGACCCUGUUUGCCUGGGUAUCGCCAGUGGAGGCUGCAGAACAGCAAAAAUUGCUGCCUGUUCCUUUCUCUGGAAGCUUCGUCACAGAGGGGCACCUGCCAGAUGCCAGCCGGAGCUCUGCUGCGAGCUGCAAACCAGAGCUGUUCCUAUUCAACCAUCUUGCCCACCUAGCAAGACAGGCCAAGAUUCAAAUUCAAAAAUUACAGAGAAUACCACAAAGAUAAUCCUCAAGAAGAGCAACCCCAAGACACAUAAUUGUCUGAUUCACAAAGAUUGAAAUGAAGGAAAAAAUGUUAAGGGCAGCCAGAGAGAAAGGUUGAGUUACCCAUAAAGGGAAGCCCAUCAGACUGACAGCAGAUCUCUCUACAGAAACCCUACAAGCCAGAAGAGACUGGGGGCCAAUAUUCAAUAUUCUUAAAGAAAAGAAUUUUCAACCCAACAUUUCGUAUCCACCCAAACUAAGCUUGAACCAGGUUUUCUCUCUGGUUGUAGUACACUCUUGCUGUCUGUCUUUCUUGCCUUCUUUCUGCACAUUUUCCUUUUAGGAAAUCAAGACAUAUUUCACUUCCUUGAAGGGGUUUGAGAUUGAUAAAAAGAAAUGUGAAGAGAAAGAAGAUAAUUUUUUUCUUUUUCUGGUCCAUAUAAAGAUGAUGCUCUAACCCUCCUCCCUUACAAGCAUGUGUACCUAUCAAAAGAAAACUUAGAAAUUUGAAUCUUGAGUUUACAUUUAAGUCAUAGCACGGAGAGGAUUGAGAAUGUGGCACAAUGGAAUUCUCAUCCCUACUAUUUCUAAAUCACUCAGCAAACUGAAGCUAGGUCUCUUUGCAUGGUUUCCAGAGGCGUCAUGAUGGAAUGGAUACAGAAAAUGGACAAAAUACUCAAAAUUUAUGUCUUGGUUCUCACCACUCACUCAUGGUUGAGACUCAUUGUCUACCUGUGCAGAUACGGCAUUGAUGGAGGCUGGUGUGUAAGUGAAAAAGCCACAAAUAAUGAUACUUCCCUGUUGAGUUCUAUUAAUACACAGUCAAUCUGUAAGUUAUUCAGUAACACCACUGAGGGAGCAAAAAUGUAGCUGAGACAAGAGCUUUUAUGCCUCCCACUAAGCUGCACUUUCAAGGGGGCAAGGUAACCCUGAAGGUGGAGUAGGAAAUUAGACAUUUUAACUGAGGAACCAUGCAGAUUGUGCCCAAGAGUCAGAGAAGUACAUUUUCUGCUAAUAAAGAAAUGGAGACAAUGAAUUAGGGAAAACAACUGUGAUCCUGGGAGCUAAUAAAAUCACAGACUGCCAGUGCUAAGACAACAUCCCACAUCUUUCAACAGCCUCUAAAUUCAUCAGCAGGAGGCCACACCAGGUACACAGGAUGAGCAAAGCCAGAGACUUACACUCAGAAAAUGAACUGUGACCACAUUUUCUUCUUGAAAUUAGAUGCCAUAUUAGGGAGUAAGAAAAGUUAGGGAGAAACAACCCUGAUAAGAACUUGAAUUUUAAAUGGUUUGAAUACUAAUACAAAAGAGAUUAAGUUAAACAUUUUUUUAAACAAUGAUUUUCACUUUGUCUUAUCUUUCUUAUAGGUUGGUGGCCUCUGAUGAAGGUAUUCCAAAUAUAGACAUU
ensembl:lncRNA LINC00410 long intergenic non-protein coding RNA 410